UGGCCUGGAGACCCCCAAAGGGAAAGUGUCCCCUGCGCUGCUCCUGCUCUAAAGACAGCGCCCUGUGUGAGGGCUCCCCGGACCUGCCCGUCAGCUUCUCUCCGACCCUGCUGUCACUCUCACUCGUCAGGACGGGAGUCACCCAGCUGAAGGCCGGCAGCUUCCUGAGAAUUCCGUCUCUGCACCUGCUCCUCUUCACCUCCAACUCCUUCUCCGUGAUUGAGGACGAUGCAUUUGCGGGCCUGUCCCACCUGCAGUACCUAUCUACAAAGGGCCCGGAUAACCAGAGCCUGAUUCUGGCUCUCCCUGACUCAUAGAAACCCAGGAAGGGUGUACAGAAGUCAGAGACAAGAAACGUUUCAAAUGACCAGGAAACAACUCUGAAUUAGCUUCAUCGAGGACAAUGAGAUUGGCUCCAUCUCUAAGAAUGCCCUCAGAGGACUUCGCUCGCUUACACACCUAAGCCUGGCCAAUAACCAUCUGGAGACCCUCCCCAGAUUCCUGUUCCGAGGCCUGGACACCCUUACUCAUGUGGACCUCCGCGGGAACCCGUUCCA
rnacentral:lncRNA from 1 species